GCCAGAGGCAAUCAGCUUGAGAGUUAGCUGCGCAGAGGACUGGAAGUAGAAAAUCAGCACGGAUGUUAAAGUGACAAUCAGCAACCAGCCUGGCAGGUCUUCAGCUGGAGGGUCUUCACUUUUUUCCUGUGAAAGGUGAUUCUUUGCCAGUUGAGAGCAGGCCUGAGACCAUGUUUCUCCUGGAAGUACUGGAAGGACCCUCAUAGAGGGGUACAAGGAAAAUGCCAGCAAGGACUGCAGUUCCCUAAAGCUAAGGCCUGCACAGAGCACCUGCAAGAGUCAAAGGAAGGGGACAUGGUCUUUUGCUUGGGGACCUGCUGAGUUCUGGAAGAAUAGAAAUCUCAACACAGGUAUCCAUGAAAGGAGCAGCUGUUUCCUGAGCCACUCCUAAGAGCUUCUAAUGAUCCUGACCAGUCUCCAUGAAGCAGAAACUCACACUGGUGUCAGCUCUUCUCUUGAAGAUGGUUGUGAUUCACUUGUGUUAGAGAAAAGUGUUCAUCUUGGACCUGGAUUUCUCCUUUCACUUCAUAACUCCUAGAACAUUGUAAGAUAUGGAAACACUUCACAUUCUCCAGCCGAAAAACCAUAAGCAUAGAGGAAGAUCAAUGAAAUGGAUGCCCCCGUGACCCUGGCAAGUGGCUGCU
rnacentral:lncRNA from 1 species